GAUGAACGCUGGCGGCGUGCCUAAUACAUGCAAGUCGAGCGAACAGACGAGGAGCUUGCUCCUCUGACGUUAGCGGCGGACGGGUGAGUAACACGUGGAUAACCUACCUAUAAGACUGGGAUAACUUCGGGAAACCGGAGCUAAUACCGGAUAACAUGUUGAACCGCAUGGUUUAACAGUGAAAGACGGUCUUGCUGUCACUUAUAGAUGGAUCCGCGCCGCAUUAGCUAGUUGGUAAGGUAACGGCUUACCAAGGCAACGAUGCGUAGCCGACCUGAGAGGGUGAUCGGCCACACUAGAACUGAGACACGGUCCAGACUCCUACGGGAGGCAGCAGUAGGGAAUCUUCCGCAAUGGGCGAAAGCCUGACGGAGCAACGCCGCGUGAGUGAAGAAGGUCUUCGGAUCGUAAAACUCUGUUAUUAGGGAAGAACAAAUGUGUAAGUAACUAUGCACGUCUUGACGGUACCUAAUCAGAAAGCCACGGCUAACUACGUG
rnacentral:rRNA from 1 species